rnacentral:rRNA from 1 species
GACGAACGCUGGCGGCGUGCCUAAUACAUGCAAGUCGAACGCACGAAGUUGAAGAGCUUGCUCUUUAACCAAGUGAGUGGCGGACGGGUGAGUAACACGUGGGUAACCUGCCCAUUAGAGGGGGAUAACAUUCGGAAACGGAUGCUAAUACCGCAUAGUUUCAGGAAUCGCAUGAUUCUUGAAGGAAAGGUGGCUUCGGCUACCACUAAUGGAUGGACCCGCGGCGUAUUAGCUAGUUGGUGAGGUAAUGGCUCACCAAGGCAAUGAUACGUAGCCGACCUGAGAGGGUGAUCGGCCACACUGGGACUGAGACACGGCCCAGACUCCUACGGGAGGCAGCAGUAGGGAAUCUUCCGCAAUGGACGAAAGUCUGACGGAGCAACGCCGCGUGAGUGAAGAAGGUUUUCGGAUCGUAAAACUCUGUUGUUAAAGAAGAACAAGGAUGAGAGUAACUGCUCAUCCCCUGACGGUAUUUAACCAGAAAGCCACGGCUAACUACGUGCCAGCAGCCGCGGUAAUACGUAGGUGGCAAGCGUUGUCCGGAUUUAUUGGGCGUAAAGCGAGCGCAGGCGGUUCUUUAAGUCUGAUGUGAAAGCCCCCGGCUCAACCGGGGAGGGUCAUUGGAAACUGGAGAACUUGAGUGCAGAAAGAGGAGAGUGGAAUUCCACGUGUAGCGGUGAAAUGCGUAGAUAUGUGGAGGAACACCAGUGGCGAAAGGUGACUCUCUGGGUCUGUAACUGAGGCUGAGGCGCGAAAGCGUGGGGGAGCAAACAG